GUGGAAUCAUGCUCGGCAGCCAGUGCCAUGAGGAGGAUCACAGCAGCAGAGCCACCAGAAAGAGUCUAGGAAGAGUCGCCGCUUACCACCCUGCUAAAGAGUGUAGGUCUUGGAGGAGUCAUUUGAACAGUCUGGUUUUCCCAAAACAAAGGGCUAACAGGCGCAUCGGGAAGCCCAGUUAUCAUUGGCCUCAGGGAACAAGAGCUCCAGCUGACGGGACUGCCACAGCGAGAGCGCAGGAGGCUGGGAUACUUUCCAUUGGCCGCUAGCCACCGAGUGUGCAGCUGGCUCCCCUUUCCUCCCACCCACCACACAGAAUACAGCUGGCCCUCCAGUCCACAGUGUAAGAGAAACCCUGGAGCAGCCAGAGUGCCCCCACAGGGCAUUUCAAUGAAAUAGACUGGCCCCUUGAAUCGCCUUUUGACUUGCCACUGAGCCUGCUGUGGCCAAUAAGACGGCCAGAUGCAAGUGAAAUGUCUCUCGGAUCACUACGGGAGCCACAGCCUUGAAGUGCCCCCUGGGUAACAGCAGCUCUAGCCGGUGGGGGUCGCUGGUCUUCACGCUAUCAGGACAGAGACUACAUACGUUCUCGGGAAAAUUCCACAGGAAAUCCAGACACGUUUGUGCAAAAUCUUGCCCGGCAAGCGAAAUGUAAAAUAAACAGUCAAGAGUGAAAACAGGCUAAAGCACUCACAGUCUAUUCUGGCAGGAAAAUUAUUUUUCGGCA